AUGACCCUCUUUUUAUUGUACUUUCACCUACCUUGCUAAGACUCUCUUUAAGUAGUAAAAACUAAAAAAACUAAAGGACACUCCCCCAUACUUACCCACUUGCUCCUUGCUGCUGCUGGAGAAGCCUUCUCUAUCUAUCUCUCUAGAGUCUAGAUAGUAAAGACUCAUCCUUUUCCUCUUUUUUCCAUUUCAGACAAUUUAUGCUGUUUUUGCUGCAACAGC
rnacentral:lncRNA from 1 species